UACUAUUUCAUACUACACAGUAGAUGGCGAUAAUGCUCUAUUAAGAAAGCAAUCUUCCAAUCAGCUCAAAGUAGAAAGUUUUCUCAGCCGCUGGAUGUCGCUGUACGAGCAGGUCUGCGUGUGAAUAUCAGCCGAAGAAAAGACAACAAUGGCGGCGACCUGCUCGUGGAAGUUAGACAAAGAAACGGGGCAGGAUGCGCUUAUCGGUCACAGGUCUGCUAGACGAAGGCUACUGAUCCUGAUGUGGAGGGCUUGAGGUGGCCACUGUCUUCACAAUGAACCCAGUAGUUGGAAUCAGUUCACACAAAUCCAAAGCUUCCUGAUACAUACACACAUACAUACGGUACAGUAAUCGUGGUAGCAGACUUACCAUCAGUCAGCUGGAAACCAAAGGGCUCUGCAACAAAGUGUGGUUUGGGAUCAGCUGGCUCUGGAUUCG